rnacentral:rRNA from 1 species
UACAGAGGGCCCAAGCGUUGUUCGGAUUUACUGGGCGUAAAGGGUGCGUAGGCGGUGGGGUAAGUUUGAGGUGAAAGCUCCGGGCUCAACCCGGAAAAUGCCUUGAAAACUAUCCGGCUAGAGGGUUGGAGGGGAGACUGGAAUUCUCGGUGUAGCAGUGAAAUGCGUAGAUCUCGAGAGGAACACCAGUGGCGAAGGCGGGUCUCUGGACAACACCUGACGCUGAGGCACGAAAGCCAGGGGAGCAAACGGG